rnacentral:rRNA from 1 species
GAUGAACGCUGGCGGCAUGGCUAAGGCAUGCAAGUCGAACGCACACUUCGGUGUGAGUGGCAGACGGGUGAGUAACACACUGGUAACCUACCUCUGAGUUGUGAAUAGCCUCGAGAAAUCGAGAGUAAUACACAAUGGUCUCUAAUUUAUUAGAGUAAAGUUUUAACGCUCAGAGAGGGGCCUAUGGUUUAUCAGCUUGUUGGUGAGGUAAAAGCUCACCAAGGCAAUGACGAAUAGCGGGCGUGAGAGCGCGACCCGCCUCACGGGGACUGAAACACUGCCCCG